rnacentral:rRNA from 1 species
UACGUAGGGUGCGAGCGUUAAUCGGAAUUACUGGGCGUAAAGCGUGCGCAGGCGGUUCGUUGUGUCGGCGGUGAAAGCCCCGGGCUUAACCUGGGAAUGGCCGUCGAAACUGGCGAACUGGAGUGUGGCAGAGGGGGGUGGAAUUCCGAGUGUAGCAGUGAAAUGCGUAGAGAUGCGGAGGAACACCGAUGGCGAAGGCAGCCCCCUGGGCUGACACUGACGCUCAGGCACGAAAGCGUGGGGAGCAAACAGG